UUCAGGGGUAAACCUGAGAAACCCGAAAGGUCGAAAGGGGAGAUUCCAGCGUGUCCUCGAUCGUGGCGCUGGACGGUCGUGCGACGGACGGCGUACGCGUCGUCCGCGCCUUUCGUCCUCCGAACCGCUGUCGAACGCGUGCACUUCUCCCCCUGUAGGACGUCGCGAUUCGUUGGGUGCCGGCCUAAGGCCCGAGGUGGAGUUCGUCCGGACGUUUCGGCGUUCGUGACGAACCCUCGGUGUUUCCCGGUCGGCUCGCUCGACGAUAUACAGAUGGCGCGGGGCCGCUACGUUAGUUAGCGUUCGACCUUCGGCAAGCGCGCUCCUCGCGACGGUGAUCGGACCUGGUGCCGGUCCCGUCCCCGGGCGACUGUUGGCCGAGGUGUUCUCGAACAGACCUCGUCGAAACGCCGAUCUGCGGACGCUAUAGCUUUGGGUACUUUCAGGACCCGUCUU
rnacentral:rRNA from 1 species